rnacentral:rRNA from 1 species
GACGAACCGUGCGAACGUUAUUCGGAAUCACUGGGCUUAAAGGGCGCGUAGGCGGGCGGCCAAGUCAGGGGUGAAAGCCCCCAGCUCAACUGGGGAAGUGCCUUUGAUACUGGUUGUCUCGAGGGAGGUAGGGGCGUGCGGAACUUCCGGUGGAGCGGUGAAAUGCGUAGAUAUUCGGUGGAACACCAGUGGCGAAGGCGACUCGCUGGACUGAUACUGACGCUGAGGUGCGAAAGCGUGGGGAGCAAACAGG